rnacentral:rRNA from 1 species
AGUGAACGCUGGCGGUAGGCCUAACACAUGCAAGUCGAACGGCAGCACAGUAAGAGCUUGCUCUUACGGGUGGCGAGUGGCGGACGGGUGAGGAAUACAUCGGAAUCUACUUUUUCGUGGGGGAUAACGUAGGGAGACUUACGCUAAUACCGCAUACGACCUACGGGUGAAAGCAGGGGAUCUUCGGACCUUGCGCGAUUGAAUGAGCCGAUGUCGGAUUAGCUAGUUGGCGGGGUAAAGGCCCACCAAGGCGACGAUCCGUAGCUAGUCUGAGAGGAUGAUCAGCCAGACUGGAACUGAGACACGGUCCAGACUCCUACGGGAGGCAGCAGUGGGGAAUAUUGGACAAUGGGCGCAAGCCUGAUCCAGCCAUACCGCGUGGGUGAAGAAGGCCUUCGGGUUGUAAAGCCCUUUUGUUGGGAAAGAAAAGCAGCAGGUUAAUACCCCGCUGUUCUGACGGUACCCAAAGAAUAAGCACCGGCUAACUUCGUG